UGCCUGGAAAUUGUCCUCGGAGGUGUUUUCUCGUCCUGUCAAACCACACCCUUGGCCUCUUCCCACGCAUUGCACCAGAGCCCAUAGGGACACGGGUAACGCUGGCUCAGACUUCAGGAUCUUUUAGCACCUGGCCUUUAGGAUCUGCGGGCUCAAAGGGAUCACAGCCGUUGUCCAGAGAGCCACACCUCAGUGUAUCAGCGGCGGCCGCAGCCCCCACGCCACCCUGCUGUGACCAGCAGCACCCGACUCGUGUAGGGAGCGCCGGGCUGGCUUCCACCGGGUGUCCCACAGUGCGGGGUGGGAGCUGCCAGGCCCCAGGAUCCCCGUCCGGCCGUGGGUGGAUCCCGUGAGACCCCGGGAAUCCCCGUCCGGCCGUGGGUGGAUCCCGUGAGACCCCGGGGAUCCCCGUCCGGCCGUGGGUGGAUCCCGUGAGGCCCCGGGGAUCCCCGUCCGGCCCUGGGUGAACCCAGCCAGGCGCUGGGGGUCCCUACUAGGCCACGGAACGAUCACUGCCAGGGCAUGGGGGAUCGCAGGCAGGGUGCAGGUGGAUCCCUGCCACGGUCACGGUGGAUCCCGGUGAGGCCCUAGGACGGUCCCGAUUUCGGGAAUCUCCCAGGCAAAAGGGCGGAGCUGCAGGCGGAUCUCGGCGCGGGAAGAUGGCGUCACGCGCGCCACCAGAAGCCGGUAGAGCGUUCCUCGGCACACGUGUUCCUGGUGGGCGCUUUAACUCCGAGCGGGGCUCCCUAUUGGCCAGCGGGGUGAUUGACAGCCCGAGAGCCAACCAGAUGCCUCCAUUCUGUCCCCGUAGCCAAUGAGAGGCAGGGGGCGGGCGGCGGCGCCAGCGUGGGGCUCAGUUGAAUGUGUGAGGCGGCGGCUGCGGGAGAACAGCAUUUUAGAAUGCCGAAAAUGAUUGUGGAAAACAAAGAAAAGAAAGCAGAAAAAAGAAAAAAGCUGAAGCAACAUGUGGCCCAAAAGGAUGAGCUGGAAGUGGAAACUAAACCGAAGAAGAAGAAGCAAAAGCUGCAGGUUUGGCUCUUUAAUUCAAUACGAUAUGGAUUUGUUGUUGCUGUAGAUUCUGUUCUGAACAUGAGUGUAGUGUUGCAUUCAGUUGCAGUGAUUCCUUGGAUGCAAUAUGCCUAGAGUGAAAGCUAAAAGGAAAAGAGGAAUUGAGCCAAAUCUGGGUACAGUCGUGGCAGGCAGAGAGGUGAUCUCUGUUUGUUUUGGAUGUUUCUGUGACAGAGAAUGGAUGUGGGUGAAAUGUGAACCAAGUGAGGAGCUGUCAUAUGGCAGUCUCGGUGUAGCUUCAG
ensembl:lncRNA